rnacentral:sRNA from 1 species
AAGGAGGUGGAAAAGAUGAAUCAAACUGGUAAGCGCAUGACGGAUAUGCAAGCCCAUCUGUAUAUUUGUCGCGCGAUUUUUCCGGGGAAUGCGUAUUACGGGAUCAGUCUGCCCUUUUUUACACAUUCAAUUGGAAAAAAUACCAGUGAGAGACAUCUGCCCACAAUCGGAUUUUCUGAUGCUGACGGCGGGGUGUAAGCUCUGCCGUCUUUUU